GGUAUUUUGACUCUUUUCAUGCAACCAUUUUACCACCAAUCUUUAAAUUUAAACAAACAAAAAAAUUAUUGGUGAUUUUUUGGGACACACAUAGCAGUUUAAGAAUACAUCUACGGAGAACUGUAAGGGUUACUGCCAAAGAACACCCCAAUAUGUGUUCAGCAACAUCUCCUGAGUACGGUGAUACCACCUAUGUAUAGGUGUGUUGGGUUCUCUGGGGGCUAAAAGACCUUAUUUCGAGAGUGUGCAUUCCAGUUUUCCAACUUGGAAUUUUCACAGCUAGUCAUCAUGCAUCCAUGUCCUAUUUGGGACAUUUUUGAAGCCGGCCAAUGUAAUUUACCCCCAUCAAACCAUAUAUUUUUUUUAAACGUAGACACCCUAGGGUAUUUCAAAUGGUGGUAUUUUAACACUUUCCAUGCACUAAUUAUA